ACGCCGUAAAUUGGUCCGGUUUACGACAUGCUGCUGGAGCCUGUCACCCUUUUGUGGACGCCCUCUGCCAGUCCUGGCGCGCUUCUAAUCCGAUAGCCGCAGGUUCGAAUCCUGCCGGGCGUGCCA
rnacentral:tRNA from 1 species